rnacentral:rRNA from 1 species
UACGAAGGGGGCUAGCGUUGCUCGGAAUCACUGGGCGUAAAGCGCACGUAGGCGGCUUUCUAAGUCAGGGGUGAAAUCCUGGAGCUCAACUCCAGAACUGCCUUUGAUACUGGAGAGCUUGAGUCCGGGAGAGGUGAGUGGAAUUCCCAGUGUAGCGGUGAAAUGCGUAGAUAUUGGGAGGAACACCAGUGGCGAAGGCGGCUCACUGGACCGGAACUGACGCUGAGGCGCGAAAGCGUGGGGAGCAAACAGG